AGAUUCCUACGGGAGGCAGCAGUAGGGAAUCUUCCACAAUGGACGAAAGUCUGAUGGAGCAAUGCCGCGUGAGUGAAGAAGGUUUUCGGAUCGUAAAACUCUGUUGUUGAAGAAGAACAUAUGUGAGAGUAACUGUUCACGUACUGACGGUAUUCAACCAGAAAGCCACGGCUAACUACGUGCCAGCAGCCGCGGUAAU
rnacentral:rRNA from 1 species